rnacentral:rRNA from 1 species
GAAAGCGGGGCUAAUACCGGAUAAUAUCUAUAAAAUCUUGGUUUUUUGGAUCAAAGGGGGCCUCUACAUGUAAGCUUCCAUUUGGAGAUGAGCCCGCGUACCAUUAGCUUGUUGGUAGGGUAAUGGCCUACCAAGGCUUCGAUGGUUAGCUGGUCUGAGAGGAUGAUCAGCCACACUGGAACUGACACACGGUCCAGACCCCUACGGGAGGCAGCAGUGAGGAAUUUUGCGCAAUGGGGGAAACCCUGACGCAGCAACGCCGCGUGAGUGAUGAAGGCUUUCGGGUCGUAAAGCUCUGUCAAGUGGGAAGAAACUGUAUUGUAUUAAUACUACAGUACACUGACGGUACCACUGAAGGAAGCACCGGCUAACUCCGUGCCAGCAGCCGCGGUAAUACGGAGGGUGCAAAGCGUUAUUCGGAAUUAUUGGGCGUAAAGAGCGCGUANGCGGUCUCUUAAGUCAGAUGUGAAAGCCCGGGGCUUAACCCCGGAAGUGCAUUUGAAACUGAGGGACUUGAGUAUGGGAGAAGGAAGUGGAAUUCCUGGUGUA